AGCAGUCCCUCACUUCUAAUACUACUCUGCAUAUAGAGACCACGCGAUAGCUCCCAGUGAACAGGAGGAUUUUAUUCGAGGAAGUCAGACAGAGAAACACUAAACCUGACACUGAAACGGGGCGACAGCUCUGUGUCUCGUAGAAGAUUUAUUUUCAAAGCUACAUGUGUGACGGUAAUAAUCCAUGCCAGAGCAGACCUCAUUAGCACUUCCGCUAGGUCGACUAACCUUUCCGGUCACUCCAGGGACGCUGUUGUCGAGUGAAAGUAGCAGUUCCUCCUUAAGGUCUCAGAUUGCUGCAUCUGAGGGUCUCUUCAAUAGAAGACGUAGUUGAUGAAGACGUUCUGGAGCAGGACCAGAAAGACCACGACCAAGCAGCCUUGAGAUCUUAGGCAGCUUCUCCCUCAGGUCCCUCUCUAUCUCCCCACACAUCCACCAACCACUGGAACACAUCUCCAAAGUUCUGCAGGGCCAGCUCAGCUUCCCCUCAGAAGAAGUGCUGCCACCUGCCAGAUGAAGGAGCCUUUUGAGAGGCAGCUGGCAUCGUGAUUGGACUGUACUUUUGUCUGUUCCAAUCCAGCUUCAGCUCCAGAGACGGCAGGCGGGACGAGUCAACGGAGGCCGGAUGGACGAAGGCAUGCAGCUGAGUACAAUCCAGAAAACAACAGAGGAGGAAUGCAGCGGCUCAGUAUAGCCUUCGGUAUGAAAAAACACCAUCAUAUACAUUGUAUAUUGUACAAAUAACAAGUCAAAGGAAAGAGACAUACAUUGUAGAAUUGUAGUAAUUGUGGCCUGACUGAUUUACUGAUUAUCAGUAUUUUAUUUUUUACUGAUUUACGGUAAUAAAUCAAUUUAAAAAUGG